rnacentral:lncRNA from 1 species
GAUGCUUAGGUGUAAUCUAUACUAGGAUUGGAUGUAAUAUUAUGAAUUACAUGUAUUUUGAAUUACAUCUGGGAGAGAAGAGAAUAGGACACUGUCAAAUUUAACGUUUGUCCUGAAUUUGGUUAUUGUAGUUGUGAUCUCAUUCCUUUGAUGGAGAUAUAUUAAUUUGAGUAUUUCAAUCGCUAAUAAAAACUAAGAAACGGAUUUUAGGAGCUCUGUAUUAGGAUUUUGUGAAAGUUUUGAUUCACAACUUUCUCCAUUAUCUUCCAUUGGUAGUUUGGCUUGACCCUAGUUGUGUUAAAUAUGUUUUAGAAAAGAAUUACAACAAGAAGGGAUACACGGUCUUACCUUGUUAUACAAAUAAGUUAAGGAGAAAUGGAAGUCCUCUUUAUUUGUGAAUGUGGAUAGAGGAAACCCUAUAUUUGAAUUUUUGAAUUAGAC